GAAGGUGGCAAGCGUUGUUCGGAAUCACUGGGCUUAAAGAGCACGUAGGCGGAAAGUUAAGUGUUUUGUGAAAUCCCUCGGCUUAACCGAGGAACUGCUUGACAUACUGGCUUUCUUGAGGCAGGUAGGGGCGCGUGGAACUCUAGGUGGAGCGGUGAAAUGCGUAGAUAUCUAGAGGAACGCCAGUGGUGAAAACGGCGCGCUGGGCCUGCCCUGACGCUGAGGUGCGAAAGCGUGGGGAGCAAAAAGGAUUAGAUACCCUUGUAGUCCACGCUGUAAACGAUGUCUACUAGGUCGCGGUAGUUCUGACACUUUCGCGGCCGGAGCAAAAGUGUUAAGUAGACCGCCUGGGGAGUACGGUCGCAAGGCUA
rnacentral:rRNA from 1 species